rnacentral:rRNA from 1 species
GUGGGGAAUAUUCCGCAAUGGGCGCAAGCCUGACGGAGCAACGCCGCGUGGAGGAUGAAGGUCUUCGGGUUGUAAACUUCUGUCGGGAGGGACGAAGCUUUGAGCUUGUCUUGGAGUGACGGUACCUCCGAAGGAAGCCCCGGCUAACUACGUGCCAGCAGCCGCGGUAAUACGUAGGGGGCAAGCGUUGUCCGGAAUUAUUGGGCGUAAAGAGCACGUAGGUGGCCAGUCAAGUCAGGUGUGAAAUCCUUGGGCUCAACCUGAGAACUGCACUUGAAACUAAUUGGCUUGAGUUCAGAAGAGGAGAGUGGAAUUCCUAGUGUAGCGGUGAAAUGCGCAGAUAUUAGGAGGAACACCAGUGGCGAAGGCGGCUCUCUGGUCUGUAACUGACACUGAGGUGCGAAAGCUAGGGGAGCGAACAGGAUUAGAAACCCGAGUAGUCC